AUUGAACGCUGUCGGUAGGUCUAACACAUGCAAGUCGAACGAGUGGCGGACGGGUGAGUAAUGCGUGGGAAACCGCCCGAUGGAGGGGGAUAACUCCUGGAUACGGUAGCCAAUACCGCACACCAUCGGAUGUGCCCAGAUGGGAUUAGCUAGUAGGUGGGGGACUGGCCCACCUCGGCGACGAGCCCUAGCUGGUCUGAGAGGAUGACCAGCCACACUGGAGCUGAGACACGUUCCCGACUCCUACGUAAGGCAUCUGUGGGGAAUAGUGCGCAAGGGGCACGAGCCUGAUGCAGCCAUGCCGCGUGUAUGAAGAGGGCCUUCGGGUUGUAAAGUACUUUCAGCGAGGAGGCGUUGCUCGCAGGGGGAGCACCGGCUGACUCCGUGCCAGCAGCCGCGGUAAUUC
rnacentral:rRNA from 1 species